rnacentral:SRP_RNA from 1 species
GCCGGGCAUGGUGGUGUGUGCCUGUAAUCCCAGCUGCUUGGGAGGCUGAGGCAGGAGAAUUGUUUGAACCUGGGAGGCUGAGGUUGCAGUGAGCUGAGUUCGUGCCACUGCACUCCAGCCUGGGUGACAGAGCGAGACUUUGUCUCCA